rnacentral:rRNA from 1 species
UACGAAGGGGGCUAGCGUUGUUCGGAAUUACUGGGCGUAAAGCGCGCGCAGGCGGUCUUCCAAGUCAGUGGUGAAAGCCCGGAGCUCAACUCCGGAACUGCCAUUGAAACUGUUAGACUUGAGGGUGAGAGAGGUGAGUGGAAUUCCCAGUGUAGAGGUGAAAUUCGUAGAUAUUGGGAAGAACACCGGUGGCGAAGGCGGCUCACUGGCUCAUUACUGACGCUCAGGCGCGAUAGCGUGGGGAUCAAACAGG